rnacentral:rRNA from 1 species
UACGAAGGGGGCGAGCGUUGUUCGGAAUUACUGGGCGUAAAGGGCGCGCAGGCGGCUCUUCAAGUCAGAUGUGAAAGCCCCGGGCUCAACCUGGGAACUGCAUUUGGGACUGGAGGGCUAGAGUUCGGGAGAGGUGGGUGGAAUUCCCAGUGUAGAGGUGAAAUUCGUAGAUAUUGGGAAGAACACCGGUGGCGAAGGCGGCUCACUGGACCGAGACUGACGCUGAGGCGCGAAAGCGUGGGGAGCGAACAGG